AGACUGAGUCGGGUUACAGUUUGAUGGAUGACUUGAGAGCAGGGAGUGUGUGUACUUGUCUGCAUACUUGAGGGCAUGUCACUAAAAGCCAGGACAGUUGAUUUGUGAUCUGGUUGAAGCAAUUACCGCCACGCGGGUCUGCCACGGUCUAGCUUAGAGAGUGAGGGAGGGAGACGACUCGUAGAAGAAUUCCCCGCGGGUGAGAGCGUGAUGGGGAGCGAGAGGCACACGUCUUAGAGACGGGUCUUCACGCACAUAAAUUCAUAGAUAUAUAGAAUGCAUGCGACAGUGUGAUGACAGGUGAUUGUCAUUAACUGCACUCACGUGCUGCGGUGUCUCCGUCCAAGGUAUUGAUUUACACGCACCCGCCAGGCUGGACGAACUGAUACACACGGCCAACAGGCGCACGCGCCCUGAGAAUGCUUCUAUUAGGGGAAAUAAAAUUAAAGAGGAGCGGAACGAAGAAACCAGGAGCUGUUGAGUCACUGACUGAAGGAGCGCUGAGGAGGAAGGCGUGUACUUUGCUCAGAAAUCUGCAGAUGUACUGGGAUCUCAGUGGAUAACUUCCCCAAUGUGCAUCAUCAUCAUCAUCAUCAUCCUGCUGCUGCUCCUCCGCUUAGUGUGGGACAAUGGUCUCACAGUAUACCAGGCUGAAUGAAGCCUUUGUAGAGAUGGAGAAUGCAAUAUUAAAUCUGAUUACAGACUCUGGAUGGACACAGGGAGAUGAUGGAAAUAUGGAAGACUGUUUAAAGCCAGAAUAAGCUAAAGAGAUUUGUGUAAGUUAAAGAGAGAACUGUUACACAAGGGGACAUUAUUUCUAGUUAUAAAUACUAUAAGUACAGGGGAAGUCAAAAAUAGUGCAUCGAAAGUGGAUGGAGUGAACUUUUGAACCCAGUUGGGUAGAGGUGCAAGACAAAAGCAUUAUCAAUGACAAAUUACUAAAUACAAUCUGUUGGAGUUCAACAUAAGUUAAAGGUCGUCAAGAGGAUUACAUUACAUGAAUAUGUUUCUAUUCUAUUAACACCUGAGUGUCAAAAACCCGAACAUUUUCGGCAUCAUAACAGUAAACUUUAUGGCAGUACACCUGUAUUGCAUUUUUUUUAAAUUGUACCAGUGUACUUGAUCUCCGCAGUAGCUGCCAUAUUUGUUUGCACCAACACAUCCUGCUUUUUUUCCUGAUGCAACCAUUGAAUUUUUAAGAUGAUGCAGUAUUCAGUAUCUCUGCUUCGUCUUGACAGUGCACCCAAAUGGGAUUGUUGAAUGACUUUUAUCAAAAGAACAUGGCGAGUAAAAUGCUGCUGCAGCAGCCUCUGCUCUUCUGGUUUCCAGCAACAUGUUGGAACAACAAGUUCUUCCACAACAAACCCAGUAGCACAGCUCCGCGGGGCGGAGCCUCGCUUUGAGCGCACAACGUUGUCGUGCCGAAACAGGCCUUCCCCAAACUACCGCCCCAAACUAUUCACAGUCAUUAACCAUCUAAGUUGAAAAGAGAACCGGAAGAGAGGCACCCAGGAGGAACACACGCUACAUGUGUCCAUUCCACCACGGGCGUUUUGUUUUGUCAACGUGAACUCUACACAGCUCCUGUGCUUUUGUGACAGAUUAUUUACAGUGUAUUCAACACAAUAAGCUUUAAAGGGAUCCGCGAGAGCAUUCAGGGAGUCAAAGAGAAGGUUCAAUGAGGGAGAGCAUGAAAGGAAAGCUAAUACUUGGAGUCACAUCAGUGUUCCAGACCGAUGCCCAGCCAACACACACCGGUCAAAUCAACCGAGUUGUGCCGUGGUGUCGCUUGAUUGGUGGCAGAGGACCAUCGUUUGGUGAAGGAAGCUGUGAAGAAACGCAGCCACGUUAGCUGCUGCCCACCACUAGAAGCGCUGCACGCUGACAGAAGAUCAUCACGGUAACCACGGGCGUGACGUGUUGUCACGGCGGCUGCAAAGGCGGGAGCAGGAGUGACGUUGCAGGAGCACGUGGUGGCCGGUCUGCUAACACUGCGCUGCCACUACCGUCCGUCUCCUCCACAAAUCACAGCUACUGUACUGCACUGAUGAUAUGUAACACAUGUGUGCUAUGUGCUCUACUGCUCGUCCAUCCAUCCGUCCAUCCAUGCAGCCAGGCUCCAUGUCUGACAUUGACUCACUGAUCACCCGACAGGCAAAAUAUCCCACGGACGUGCCAGCAAAAGUAGUACGCACAGACAUUCCUUCUGCUCCUCGUCCUGAAAUGUGCAUUCGCUGUGAAAGAGAGAACUCGGCGGACUGAGCAUUAGACGUCAAUUCAAUGUUUGAAUCCGGCUGUCUUCUGUGAUUUGGCUCACACGAAGAGUAGAUUUUCACGUGGUGCUUUUCCAGAAAAAACACAUCCGCUCACAUGGAAAUGAUUGAGGUUUCCUCUUGCACAGCUACUGGGUCUGGGCUAAACUCAAGCAGCAUACUCAAGUAAAACAUUGAGCACUAACUGUGGGGACCUGAGAGUGGCGCUAAAGACCUUUACAAGAACGAUCUGCGGAGGGGUCAGUGUAUCAGAUGCAAUUCCUUCUCCAUGUUGACAUGAUUUACUUUUAUUGACUUUAGUUUGACCGCAGUUCCAGUUAAAAUAGGACCUUUAAGAUGCCGGUUGACUCGCUUGUUGACUUGUAUGCUUUUCUUUGACUAGUCAAAGAAAGGCAUAGAAAUAAGAUUCAUGUAUGAGCUUCAGUGAUG
ensembl:lncRNA